rnacentral:rRNA from 1 species
GACGUAGGUGGCGAACGUUAUCCGGAAUUAUUGGGCGUAAAGGGUGCGUAGGUGGCUUGACAAGUUAUCAGUGGCAAAUCGAGGCCCAACCUCGUGGAAACUGGUAAUACUGUCCGGCUUGAGUACAGGAGAGGUUAACGGAACUCUAUGUGGAGCGGUAAAAUGCACAGAUAUAUAGAAGAACAUCAAUAAAGGCGAAGGCAGUUAACUAUUCUGUUACUGACACUGAGGCACGAAAGCGUGGGGAGCAAAACGG